AUUAUGUAUUAUAAAAAUAUAUCAAAGUUUUAAACUUCAGUAGAAGGUGAUCAAUCUUAUAUGAAAACAAGGUUUAAUAAAGUUAAAAUGAGUUCAUUAGCAUAUGGCUCAUGUAAUACAACUGGGGUUGUUAUGAGAAUGAAAAAUUUGGCCUCUGAGACAAGCACAGAGGGUCAGUGAUGGAGACACACAGAAGAAUAUCACGUGAAGGGACAGAGACUGGACUUGUGCUGCCACUGACCAAGGAACAUCUAAGCAACUGGAAGCCACAGAACCUAAGGAAGGAGCCCUUCUGUACAGAUUUCAGAGGGAGACAUUCAUGUUGACAUCUUGACUUCCAGCUUUGAGCCUCCUGAACUUUUCAGUUGUGUAAUUCAGCAUUGUCAUGUACAGUCGUAUUUGGGAUUCCCCCAAAUUUAACAAUGACACUCAAAGAGACCUAGUUUUUGGUCAGACACAUAAAGACCUUGGAAAUUCAAAUCCAUCCUAAAAAGAUUAAAAAUGCUGCACUCCAACGAGGCCCAACAACAGGGAAGACUGUCAAAUGUUUGAGUUUUACCUUCAGGAUCCCUACCAGGUUCACAAGAAUUUCCCAUAUUAAUUAUGACAUGCAACCUACAAAGGUAAUAAGAGGAUACAGGAUGUGGAAGACAUCUUGAACACUAGAAAUCAGAGAUCAAGUUGUCAAGAGGACUGAUUUUUCUUCAGGAUUCUCUGCUUCACUCAUAGAAGAUUGUUUCAUUUCUUGUUUUCACGCUCCUCCCCUCUUUCCCUGCCUCUCUUGAACUGGGAUGAGCAGCUGUCUUGCAGCAGGUGUCCUUUCCACCAGGUUAUUUCAACCUUGGAUCCAACUGGCAUUGGAUUGACC
rnacentral:lncRNA from 1 species